rnacentral:rRNA from 1 species
GGCCCUACGGGGUGCAGCAGGCGCGAAAACUUUACAAUGCUGGCAACAGCGAUAAGGGAACCUCGAGUGCCAGGUUACAAAUCUGGCUGUCGAGAUGCCUAAAAAGCAUUUCAUAGCAAGGGCCGGGCAAGACCGGUGCCAGCCGCCGCGGUAACACCGGCGGCUCGAGUGGUAACCGUUAUUAUUGGGUCUAAAGGGUCUGUAGCCGGCCGGAUAAGUCUCUUGAGAAAUCUGGCAGCUUAACUGUCAGGCUUUCAGGAGAUACUGUCUGGCUCGAGGCCGGGAGAGGUGAGAGGUACUUCAGGGGUAGGGGUGAAAUCUUGUAAUCCUUGAAGGACCACCAGUGGCGAAGGCGUCUCACCAGAACGGACCUGACGGCAAGGGACGAAAGCUAGGGGCACGAACCGGAUUAGAUACCCGGGUAGUCCUAGCCGUAAACGAUACUCGCUAGGUGUCGGCCACGGUGCGACCGUUGUCGGUGCCGUAGGGAAGCCGUGAAGCGAGCCACCUGGGAAGUACGGCCGCAAGGCUGAAACUUAAAGGAAUUGGCGGGGGAGCACCACAACGGGUGGAGCUUGCGGUUUAAUUGGAUUCAACGCCGGAAAUCUU